rnacentral:rRNA from 1 species
UGACUUAAAUAGCCGCAGUACUCUGACUGUGCAAAGGUAGCAUAAUCAGUUGGCUUUUAAUUAGAGUCUGGUAUGAACGAAAAUAUGGGUAGUAACUGUCUUAGCACAUUUCUUUGAACUUGUUAAACAAGUGCAAAUGCUUGUAAUUAAAAAAUAGACGAGAAGACCCUAGAAACUUGGACAUAUUUUUGUUGGGGCGACAGAAUUACAUUUAACUAAUCUUUUAAUACAUGACGCGAUGCUGAAAGAAUAAGUUACUCUAGGGAUAACAGCAUAAUUUCAUUAGUUUGUGACCUCGAUGUUGGACUAGGUACUAUACCCUUAAGGCAAGGAUAUAUUGUGCUCUGUUCGAGCAGAGUUACCUACAU